GACGAACGCUGGCGGCGUGCCUAAUACAUGCAAGUAGAACGCAGUUGCGAACGGGUGAGUAACGCGUAGGUAACUGCCUGGUAGCGGGGGAUAACUAUUGGAAACGAUAGCUAAUACCGCAUACUACCAGAUGGACCUGCGUUGUAUUAGCUAGUUGGUGGGGUAACGGCUCACCAAGGCAACGAUACAUAGCCGACCUGAGAGGGUGAUCAGUCACACUGGAACUGAGACACGGUCCAGACUCCUACGGGAGGCAGCAGUGGGGAAUAUUGGACAAUGGGCGAAAGCCUGAUCCAGCCAUGCCGCGUGUGUGAAGAAGGUCUUCGGAUUGUAAAGCACUUUAAGUUGGGAGGCGUUACCAACAGAAUAAGCACCGGCUAACUUCGUGCCAGCCGCCGCGGUAAUUC
rnacentral:rRNA from 1 species